GUAUUGGCGGCAGCAUUCAGCUUCUAGUGUAGUAUUUUCUCGCUAAGGAGUGCAGGUNUCUGCUUGCCUAGACCCUAAAUCUCAAAGGUUGACCUCGGAUCAGGUAGGGAUACCCGCUGAACUUAAGCAUAUCAAUAAGCGGAGGAAAAGAAACCAACAGGGAUUGCCUCAGUAACGGCGAGUGAAGCGGCAACAGCUCAAAUUUGAAAUCUGGCCUUGCGGUCCGAAUUGUAAUUUGCAGAGGAUGUUUCGAGCAAGGUCUGGUCUAAGUUCCUUGGAACAGGACGUCAUAGAGGGUGAGAAUCCCGUAUGUGACUGGGUGCCUACGCUCAUGUGAAGCUCCCUCGACGAGCCGAGUUGUUUGGGAAUGCAGCUCAAAAUGGGUGGUAAAUUUCAUCUAAAGCUAAAUACUGGCCAGAGACCGAUAGCGCACAAGUAGAGUGAUCGAAAGAUGAAAAGCACUUUGGAAAGAGAGUUAAAAAGUACGUGAAAUUGUUGAAAGGGAAGCGCUUGCAACCAGACUUGCUCGCGGGUGAUCCACCGUCCCUCGGGGCGGUCUACUCUCCCGUGAUCAGGCCAACAUCGGUUUCGGUGGCUGGAUACAGGCCCCGGGAAUGUGGCUCCCUUCGGGGAGUGUUAUAGCCCGGGGUGCAAUGCAGCCCGCCGGGACCGAGGACCGCGCUUCGGCUAGGAUGUUGGCGUAAUGGUUGUCAGCGACC
rnacentral:rRNA from 1 species